CGCCAGUCCAAGAGGUUCAAACAUGAAGAGUUACAGAUCACGAACAAUAGUAACCAGGGGUUCUGAGGAACAACAGGAACCAGAGGUUCUGAGGAACAACAGGAACCAGAGGUUCUGAGGAGGAACAACAGGAACCAGGGGUUCUGAGGAGGAAAGACAGAAACCAGGGGUUCUGAGGAGGAACAACAGGAACCAGAGGUUCUGAGGAGGAACAACAGUAACCAGAGGUUCUGAGGAACAACAGGAACCAGAGGUUCUGAGGAGGAACAACAGGAACCAGGGGUUCUGAGGAGGAAAGACAGAAACCAGGGGUUCUGAGGAGGAACAACAGGAACCAGGGGUUCUGAGGAGGAACAACAGGAACCAGGGGUUCUGAGGAGGAACAACAGGAACCAGAGGUUCUGAGGAGGAACAACAGGAACCAGGGGUUCUGAGGAGGAACAACAGUAACCAGGGGUUCUGAGGAGGAACAACAGUAACCAGGGGUUCUGAGGAGGAACAACAGUAACCAGGGGGGUUUUGAGGAACAACAGUAACCAGGGGUUUUGAGGAACAACAAUAACCAGGGGUUCUGAGGAGAAACAAUAGUAACCAGGGGUUCUGAGGAACAAUAGUAACCAGGGGUUCUGAGGAGGAACAACAGUAACCAGGGGUUCUGAGGAGGAACAACAGUAACCAGGGGUUCUGAGGAGGAACAACAGUAACCAGGGGUUCUGAGGAGGAACAACAGUAACCAGGGGUUCUGAGGAGGAACAACAGUAACCAGGGGUUCUGAGGAGGAACAAUAGUAACCAGGGGCUAGGAGGAGUAACAAUAGUAACCAGGGCUUCUGAGGAACAACAGUAACCAGGGGUUCUGAGGAACAACAGUAACCAGGGGUUCUGAGGAACAACAGUAACCAGGGGUUCUGAGGAACAACAGUAACCAGGGGUUUUGAGGAACAACAGUAACCAGGGCUUCUGAGGAACAACAAUAACCAGGGGUUUUGAGGAACAACAGUAACCAGGGCUUCUGAG
ensembl:lncRNA